rnacentral:lncRNA from 1 species
GGCGAUGUACUGUACUAGUAAGGGAUUUGCCAGCCCUGGUGAUUUGUGGAGGCGCCGGAUGUGGUGGUGGCAGUGGUGGUGAUGGCGGCUACGCCUGACGCCCGACUAGGCCCGUUUAGGCGGGUGGGUGCGUGGAUGUGGUGCGCCGUGGACGGCUGACGGAAUGCGGGGAGGCAGGUGGCCACCGGCUCCACCAGCUGCUGUCGUUGGUUGCAGUAGCACUGACUGGCUAACUGUGUUUGGAAUCGGGGCAUGUGCCAUGCGCUUUCGUUUGUUUUGGCUGUCCACACUAUGCGAGCAAUGUUAAUUUCCUCGAGUAGCAACCCGUUGUGGCUGCGCACAUGAUGCGAUUGUGAUUUAGUCGGGCUUGGCGCAAGGCCUCCCCCUCGAUGGGUGGAGCAGGCUUGCCCCCACAUAAAGGUGCUGGAGCACAAAGGGCUGAAGCAAAACCACCAAGUUCGAUGAUGAUGCGUUGCCUGUUGACGUCUGAUUAUGAGAACUACAACGGGUCGAAUGGAAUGGAAGGUGGCCGGUCGGUCGGCUG